AAGCCGCGCGGCCGGCGAGGGCAUCGAGACCAGCGAUCAGUUCGAACAGAUGCCGGAUAUCCUGUUCGGAGAACUGGCGGACCCGCGCACCGCGAUUGGGCAGCAGUUCGAUCAGGCCUUCCGACGCCAGCACCUUCAGCGCUUCGCGCAGCGGCGUGCGCGAGACAUCGAACUUCUCGCACAAUUCGCGCUCGGGAAUGCGGCUGCCCGGCUCCAGAUGCCCCUCGACAAUAAAGUCGCGGAUCUGGCUCAGCAGGUCAUCAUGCAGUGAAGCCGGCGGGGUC
rnacentral:misc_RNA from 1 species